CAGGGUAGAGGUAACCCGCACGGGCGUAGGAGUUCUCUCCACGCCCGUGCACGCAUGUUAAGGGCAGGACAACUAAC
rnacentral:sRNA from 1 species